rnacentral:rRNA from 1 species
GACGAACGCUGGCGGCGUGCCUAAUACAUGCAAGUUGAGCGAUGAAGAUUGGUGCUUGCACCAAUUUGAAGAGCAGCGAACGGGUGAGUAACGCGUGGGGAAUCUGCCUUUGAGCGGGGGACAACAUUUGGAAACGAAUGCUAAUACCGCAUAAUAACUUUAAACAUAAGUUUUAAGUUUGAAAGAUGCAAUUGCAUCACUCAAAGAUGAUCCCGCGUUGUAUUAGCUAGUUGGUGAGGUAAAGGCUCACCGAGGCGAUGAUACAUAGCCGACCUGAGAGGGUGAUCGGCCACAUUGGGACUGAGACACGGCCCAAACUCCUACGGGAGGCAGCAGUAGGGAAUCUUCGGCAAUGGACGAAAGUCUGACCGAGCAACGCCGCGUGAGUGAAGAAGGUUUUCGGAUCGUAAAACUCUGUUGGUAGAGAAGAACGUUGGUGAGAGUGGAAAGCUCAUCAAGUGACGGUAACUACCCAGAAAGGGACGGCUAACUACGUG